ACAUAACUCAACCAUUUUAUCCUGCUGCGUCGGAGCAGGGAAGCACCUAAAGAUUGUGGCGCAGUAGAUCUCAAGGACUAGAGGUGGAGACCUCUGCCCUAAGGGUUUAUAUGAAAGGAAUGUCCACCACUUUCCAGUAGCAUUACCAGUCCACAACCUUCUCAUCGCUGGUCUUCAUGCAGCUUUACUUAGCAGAGCCCAGACGAACGUCAGCAUGCACGUGUUACAAUUACUGUGCGUAACCUGAGAGCAUCCAUACUAAAUUCCAGAUGUUGCUUUACCAUCUAAGAAGACUCCAGGGAGCAGUUUGGAGAUCCAGACAGACAGGAACUAAGCCACCAUGCCCAACACCUGACAGUCCCACUCCAUAGUCCCCUCUGCACUAAACUUUAGAGCUGACACAAUACACUCAGAGUCCAGUGGCGAUGCAUUGAGGCUUGGAUGCAUCGGAAACCCAUUUGAUAAAGCUGUGUGCACUAUUGCCGAGCCAAUCUGAAUUCUUGAACAUAUGAAGCUUGAAGGUCUGAAAUGAGACUCUCUGGAAAGAUGGUGACCUCUAUGCACCUCAACACCCUUUGACUUCACUAACGAGGAAAUUUCCAACUGGACUUCCUGGACAGGUGGUAUCCUGUCAUGGUACACGCUGGAAAUGCCUAAGCUCCGGAGAGCGACUCAUUCUUCCACAACUGUUAAUAGAAGCGGUCUGCAUAUCGGUGCUGGAUUUUAUAAACCUGUAGCCGUGAAAGUGAAUUAAAUGAUUUGGAUGGCUCUCAGAGGUUAUAUUCUCCAUUCUUCAAGGCUCACUGCUCACAGCGAGGGAUCUGUUCUCACCGCCCACCAGUCUGGGACCUUGAAGACCUGUAACGAUGGGCUGCUAGCAUGGCUUUAUCCUCUUAGACUGAAUGAAAGCGGAUAGGAUACGAAACACAAAUAUGCCUUAAGGAUUUUAUUGGAGAUUUUCAGUGUUUUUCCUUGUGUGGAUAAAUAAGAUAUAAUUCCUUUCUGACCUGUGGUGGGCCACAACUAAACAGCUUGUGUGUUUUAAUGUUUCCAUUAAAGAUUGUGUGGUUUUUACUAUGAAAUAAUUAUCAGUGUUAAAUAUAAAUAAAUUGCAUUUAAAACAAGCUAACCAUUCUGUGGUGGAAACGGCACAGCAAACAAAUACAACAAUUUUAGCUGCUUUCAAUUCAGAUGUUGGGCGAAAAAGCCGCAGAGUAGCUACACAGUCCGGGUUAACAGAAUUAGCAUUGCAUCCUUAACAGAGCAGUGGUGUCUAUUUCUCUGCGCUACAGUCAGUGUUUGAUUCUCCUCAGAUUCAGAGCUCAAUGGUCUGUGAUGAAACAUGUUUACUGAUGAACACUAUACACUACUGUGAGCCACUAAUUUAAUCAGAAAUGAACUGAUUAAAGGGCCACACCAUAUCCCCCAGAAGAGUCAGGAGUAAUAAUAAAUAGUUUAGAAGUAACACUUUAAUUUUGUGUUAAGUGUUACAAUAAUGUUGGUUAUCAAAAUCAGAACUGCUCAGAGAUUUUCUAGUUGAAUUUCAACUUGUGGUCACAUUUUUUUUUUUAGUUCUGAGAGGAAACUCACAAGAUCCUCACAAAUAGAAGAUGGCUUAACAUGUAAUCUUGUGUCACUAAAAUGGCUUUAUCUGGCACUUAUUUAUG